AACGAACGCUGGCGGCGCGCCUAAUACAUGCAAGUCGAGCGAGAAGGUGUAGCAAUACACUUGUAAAGCGGCGAACGGGUGAGGAAUACAUGGGUAAUCUACCAUCGAGUGGGGAAUAACCAACCGAAAGGUUGGCUAAUACCGCGUACGCCUCCGGGUCUUCGGGUUCGGAGGGAAAGCUGCACUGUGAGUGUAGCGCUCUUUGAUGAGCUCAUGUCCUAUCAGCUUGUUGGUAGGGUAACGGCCUACCAAGGCUUUGACGGGUAGCUGGUCUGAGAGGACGAUCAGCCACACUGGCACUGCGACACGGGCCAGACUCCUACGGGAGGCAGCAGUAAGGAAUAUUGCGCAAUGGGCGAAAGCCUGACGCAGCGACGCCGCGUGGGGGAUGAAGGUCUUCGGAUCGUAAAGCACUUUCGACCGGGACGAAUAAGCUUCACCUAAUACGUGAGGCCCUGACGGUACCGGGAGAAGAAGCACCGGCUAACUC
rnacentral:rRNA from 1 species